AGAAGAAGCGUCCCUUCCGACUUUUCCAUUUUCUCGCCUUUUUGUAACAUCAUGUCGGCCGCCAGAAGACAUAAGCGCAUGGCAGCGUUUCAGGCUUCUUGCCUUUUAAAUCGAAUCUGGAUGGCAGCAUUUUGGAUAUGAAACGGCGAACUGCAAGCACUGACUGAUUGUUUUGUAUCCUUUCUUCAGUCAUAGGGGGCUGAUCUGAAAAAAGAUACACAACCACAGACGACAGUCAAGAAAGCUAAAAAAUUUAAAACUCUGCGCAUGGAUCCAAUUCUUCAGCUGGAUUCCCACAUACCUGCCCAAAAACAGGGGGUUGAUCUGAAAAAAAAUAAAUAAAUAAAGAUGACUCUUUGUGGACACUGGUGAAACGGAUGAAAAAGAUACACAACCACAGAUGACAGUCAAGAAAGGUAAAAACUUUAAACCUCUGCUCAUGGAUCCAAUUCUUCAGCUGGAUUCCCACAUACCUGCCCAAAAACGUUCCAGGCACCUGAUCUAGAUGUUCAGCAUAGAUAUGAACUUGCCAGCUCUCUUCACAGUCUAAAGCCAGAGGGCAGCAUCCUAAAAGACAGAUUUAAGAGUUUACAGAAGACAAACACUGAGGCCAGAGAAAGAGCCAAGUUUAAGAGGAAAUAUAAGCUGAAGUACUCAGAAAAGAGGGCCUUCAGGGAGAUACAGUGACCGCACAAGUUGUUUUCUUUCAGUCCUCCAACAAAUUAUGGGGUGCUAUUCAUGUUGCAAUAAAAAAAAGUUUAUAUUACAACAAC